rnacentral:rRNA from 1 species
UUCAUCUCCGGGGGUAGAGCACUGUUUCGGCUAGGGGGCCAUCCCGGCUUACCAACCCGAUGCAAACUGCGAAUACCGGAGAAUGUUAUCACGGGAGACACACGGCGGGUGCUAACGUCCGUCGUGAAGAGGGAAACAACCCAGACCGCCAGCUAAGGUCCCAAAGUCAUGGUUAAGUGGGAAACGAUGUGGGAAGGCCCAGACAGCCAGGAUGUUGGCUUAGAAGCAGCCAUCAUUUAAAGAAAGCGUAAUAGCUCACUGGUCGAGUCGGCCUGCGCGGAAGAUGUAACGGGGCUAAACCAUGCACCGAAGCUGCGGCAGCGACGCUGAUGCGUUGUUGGGUAGGGGAGCGUUCUGUAAGCCUGCGAAGGUGGCCUGUGAGGGUUGCUGGAGGUAUCAGAAGUGCGAAUGCUGACAUAAGUAACGAUAAAGCGGGUGAAAAGCCCGCUCGCCGGAAGACCAAGGGUUCCUGUCCAACGUUAAUCGGGGCAGGGUGAGUCGACCCCUAAGGCGAGGCCGAAAGGCGUAGUCGAUGGGAAACGGGUUAAUAUUCCCGUACUUGGUGUUACUGCGAAGGGGGGACGGAGAAGGCUAUGUUGGCCGGGCGACGGUUGUCCCGGUUUAAGCGUGUAGGUGUGUGUUCCAGGUAAAUCCGGUUCACUUUAACACUGAGGCGUGAUGACGAGGCACUACGGUGCUGAAGCAACAAAUGCCCUGCUUCCAGGAAAAGCCUCUAAGCAUCAGGUAACAUCAAAUCGUACCCCAAACCGACACAGGUGGUCAGGUAGAGAAUACCAAGGCGCUUGAGAGAACUCGGGUGAAGGAACUAGGCAAAAUGGUGCCGUAACUUCGGGAGAAGGCACGCUGACACGUAGGUGAAGUGAUUUACUCAUGGAGCUGAAGUCAGUCGAAGAUACCAGCUGGCUGCAACUGUUUAUUAAAAACACAGCACUGUGCAAACACGAAAGUGGACGUAUACGGUGUGACGCCUGCCCGGUGCCGGAAGGUUAAUUGAUGGGGUCAGCGCAAGCGAAGCUCCUGAUCGAAGCCCCGGUAAACGGCGGCCGUAACUAUAACGGUCCUAAGGUAGCGAAAUUCCUUGUCGGGUAAGUUCCGACCUGCACGAAUGGCGUAAUGAUGGCCAGGCUGUCUCCACCCGAGACUCAGUGAAAUUGAACUCGCUGUGAAGAUGCAGUGUACCCGCGGCAAGACGGAAAGACCCCGUGAACCUUUACUAUAGCUUGACACUGAACAUUGAGCCUUGAUGUGUAGGAUAGGUGGGAGGCUUUGAAGUGUGGACGCCAGUCUGCAUGGAGCCGGCCUUGAAAUACCACCCUUUAAUGUUUGAUGUUCUAACGUGGACCCGUGAUCCGGGUUGCGGACAGUGUCUGGUGGGUAGUUUGACUGGGGCGGUCUCCUCCUAAAGAGUAACGGAGGAGCACGAAGGUUGGCUAAUCCUGGUCGGACAUCAGGAGGUUAGUGCAAUGGCAUAAGCCAGCUUGACUGCGAGCGUGACGGCGCGAGCAGGUGCGAAAGCAGGUCAUAGUGAUCCGGUGGUUCUGAAUGGAAGGGCCAUCGCUCAACGGAUAAAAGGUACUCCGGGGAUAACAGGCUGAUACCGCCCAAGAGUUCAUAUCGACGGCGGUGUUUGGCACCUCGAUGUCGGCUCAUCACAUCCUGGGGCUGAAGUAGGUCCCAAGGGUAUGGCUGUUCGCCAUUUAAAGUGGUACGCGAGCUGGGUUUAGAACGUCGUGAGACAGUUCGGUCCCUAUCUGCCGUGGGCGCUGGAGAACUGAGGGGGGCUGCUCCUAGUACGAGAGGACCGGAGUGGACGCAUCACUGGUGUUCGGGUUGUCAUGCCAAUGGCACUGCCCGGUAGCUAAAUGCGGAAGAGAUAAGUGCUGAAAGCAUCUAAGCACGAAACUUGCCCCGAGAUGAGUUCUCCCUGAGACUUAGAGUCUCCUGAAGGAACGUUGAAGACGACGACGUUGAUAGGCCGGGUGUGUAAGCGCAGCGAUGCGUUGAGCUAACCGGUACUAAUGAACCGUGAGGCUUAACCUUACA